UACAAUGUUUUGGCUCUUCGUCUUAUUUAAAAUUUUUUUACAAUUAAUAUUUUUAUUCUUACCAGAUGAUAAAACAUGAAUACUAUUUUAUGCGUGACUAAUUUUUUAAGUUCUUGUAUAAAUUUUUCAAAUAAGGCGAAUAGUCAAACGUUGGA
rnacentral:pre_miRNA from 1 species